GAUGAACGCUGGCGGCGUGCUUAACACAUGCAAGUCGAACGGUGAAGCAGAGCUUGCUCUGUGGAUCAGUGGCGAACGGGUGAGUAACACGUGAGCAACCUGCCCCUGACUCUGGGAUAAGCGCUGGAAACGGCGUCUAAUACUGGAUAUGUGACGUGACCGCAUGGUCUGCGUCUGGAAAGAAUUUCGGUUGGGGAUGGGCUCGCGGCCUAUCAGCUUGUUGGUUCGGUAAUGGCCCACCAAGGCGUCGACGGGUAGCCGGCCUGAGAGGGUGACCGGCCACACUGGGACUGAGACACGGCCCAGACUCCUACGGGAGGCAGCAGUGGGGAAUAGUGCACAAUGGGCGGAAGCCUGAUGCAGCAACGCCGCGUGAGGGAUGACGGCCUUCGGGUUGUAAACCUCUUUUAGCAGGGAAGAAGCGAAAGUGACGGUACCUGCAGAAGAAGCGCCGGCUAACUACGUGCCAGCAGCCGCCGUAA
rnacentral:rRNA from 1 species